rnacentral:lncRNA from 1 species
GAACCUUCUUUCGGCGGCCGAACCUGGUUUUGCCCAGUGGACAGAACCCUGCUCUGUUUCAUGCAAACCUCCCCCCAAAGUUACCCAACAUGCAUAGCAACUACUCCCAACUAGCACAUACCAUAUAACAUGCAUAAAGAGGUUCAAAACACUCCUAAAACCUCAAACAAACACAUCAAACAACACUUCACAUGCUUGAACACAAACAUCUCCCAAAACCUUCACCUAAACCUAAUCAUGCAUACUACCCAUCCAACUCCCAUAAAACCUUCAAAAACCAUCAAAGCAGUUCAGGAUCAACCCUUACCUCCUUAAGAACUUGAGGAUGAGUGAUCCUAACGUGGAGAUAGGGAGAAAACCUCUUCCAAAGCUCCAAGCUUCAAAACUUACUAUUUUUGCUCAAAACCUUCAAAACACACCAAAAC